rnacentral:lncRNA from 1 species
GUUCUGUUCAUAGAGAAGUUGUUCUCUUGUUUUGGACAGUAGUUAUUACUGAUUUAAGUCACUGUCUGCAAAAGUACUGUUUCUCUUACUGUUGUUCUCUAGUAAGACUAACUCAUGUUUGAAGCCAGAAAAACACUGACUGCAGAUUCAGGGAUUUUUUUUUUUUUUUUUUUUUUUUUUAAUGAAUCAGACCGUGUUACAGCACUGUCUCACCUAGUGGAAACAGACACCAGGGGAUUUUUUUUAAUCUUCAUGGAUUUUUAAGCAAACACUAUCUCAGAGAAAAAAAUUUUGGUAGCAUCAGCUUUUUUAUUUUAUUUCUUUACAGUCUAGUCGUUACCCCCUCCUGGUCUACCCUCCCACAGUUCCUCAUCCCACUCCUCCUACCCCCUGUCUCCAAGAGGAUGUCUGCUCCACCCACCAGGCUUCCCUACUCAAGUCUCUCAAGGGUUUGGUGCAUCUUCUUUCACUGAGGGCAGACCCGGCAGUCCUCUGCUGUAUAUGUGUCAGGGGCCUUGGACCAGCUGCUGUAUGCUGCCUGGUUGGUGGCUCAUUGUCAGAGAGAUCUCAGGGGUCCAGGUUAGUUGAGACUUCUGUCUUUCUAUGGGGUUGCCCUCUUCCUCAGCUUCUUCCAGCUUUUCCCUAAUUCAACCACAGGGGUCCCCGACUUGUACAUAUCUGCAUCUAACUCUUUCAGCUGCUUGUUGGGCCUCUCAGAGGACAGCCAUGAGCAUCAGCUUUUAUUUCAUCUUAUUAUUGGAACCUUCACACACACACACCCCAUUUCCACUCCCCAAGUCAGGGUUUCUCUGUGUAGCCUUGACUGUCCCGGAACUCGCUCUAGACCAGGUUGGCCGGGGACUCAAAGCUUCACCUGCCUCUGCCGCCCGAGGGCUGGGAUUAAAGGGGUGCGCCACUACUGCCUGGCCAUGACCACUUCCAUAUUUAGACAUUUAUCUUAGGGUUUCUAUUGCUGUGAAUAGGUGCUGUGACCCUGGCAACUCUUAAAGAGGAAAACAUUUAAUUGGGGCUGACUUACAGGUUCAUUAUCAUCAUGGCGGGAAGCAUGGCAGCAUGCAGGCAGACAUGGUGCUGGAGAAGGAGCUGAGAGUUCUACAUCUGAGUGGGCAGUCAUCAGGAAGAGAGAGACAGACUGGGCCUUGCUUGAGUGUCUGAGACCUCAAAGCCUACCCGCAACAACCCUAACCGAGAGACUUUCUCCAGCAAGGCCACACCUCCUAAUAGUGCCGCUCUCUGUGGGCCUACGGGGCUAUUUUUAUUCAGGUUAUCACAAAAGUACACCAGUUUAUUGAAUUUAACAUACUCAGAAAUAAAGGCACCAUUGACUUAAUGGUCAUUAUUAAAGAACUCUUUAAGCUUACCUAGCUAUCCUCUAUUCUGAUAAACAGGAUCAAACUAAGUCAAAAAGAACAUUAUUAUAGGAGGAACAACAAUAUGAACUAACCAGUACCCCCAGAGCUCCCUGGGACUAAACCACCAACCAAGGAAAACACACAGAGGGACUCAUGGCCCAGCUGCCUAUGCAGCAGAGAGUGGCCUAGUUGGUCAUUAAUGGGAGGUCCUGUGAAGGUUCUAUGCCCCAGUAUAGGGGAAUGCCAGGGCCAGGAAGCAGGAGUUAGGUGGGUUGGUGAGCAGGGGGAGGGGGAAGGGGGUUAGGGGGCUUUCGGAGGGGAAACUAGGAGAUAACAUUUGAAAUGUAAAUAAAGAAAAUAUCUAAUAAAAAGUAUAAAUAAAUAAAUAAAUAAAUAAGUAGAUAGAUGGAUAGAUAAAUAGGUAAACUAAGUUAUAAU